rnacentral:rRNA from 1 species
GUACCAGACUCCUACGGGAGGCAGCAGUGGGGAAUCUUCCGCAAUGGGCGAAAGCCUGACGGAGCAACGCCGCGUGAUCGAAUGAAGGCCUUCGGGUUGUAAAGAUCUGUUGACAGGGACGAAUAAGCAAUGCGAAUAGUUUUGUGUAUGACGGUACCUGUUUAGAAAGCUCCGGCUAACUACGUGCCAGCAGCCGCGGUAAUACGUAGGGAGCAAGCGUUGUCCGGAAUUACUGGGCGUAAAGGGCGCGUAGGUGGGCGCUUAAGUCAGGUGUGAAAACUCCGGGCUCAACCUGGAGACUGCACUUGAAACUGGGUGUCUUGAGUGGGCGAGAAGUAUGCGGAAUGCGUGGUGUAGCGGUGAAAUGCAUAGAUAUCACGCAGAACUCCGAUUGCGAAGGCAGCAUACCGGCGCCCUACUGACGCUGAGGCACGAAAGCGUGAGUAUCGAACAGGAUUAGAUACCCCUGUAA